CCUCAGCAACAUCGUGUAAACUCAACAGCCCCGUGUAGCAGGAGCUGCCCGGAGAAUGUGCCUGCUGAAGAGCCGGCUUCAUUAAUAAGGACUACGUGCUCUGCAGUCAGAAAAACAUGCCGAAACAAAAUCAAGCUAUAUGUAAUAACUGUCUGAAUUCCUUGCUGUCCAGCAAAGGAAGACAGCGGUUAGCUAAAAAUGCUCUGUAACUUCUCUUUGGGUUGCUGUGCCUCUUUCACACUUCACUACUGAAGCGCCAGGUUUCCAGACCUUUAUACAUUUAAGGACAGUAUGUCUGACAACCAACAAAAUCAGAAGAGAAGCAAAGAAGAUUGUGGAAUUGGUGUUGCUCUUGAGAAUGCAGAGAAGAUAACGAAACAAAUGCAUCGGUCAUACAAAGCUCUGGGAAAAAACAGACAAACAGCACCAACAUCCAGUCCAUGGCCGGAUCAACAAGUGGCAUAUUUUCCAAGUAAUAAUCAGUUAGCAUUACAGAUGAGACAUCACACUUCUUUACCUUUCUUCCUGAAGAAAGAGAAUGUAGUGUAUGGCUUUGACUUCAGCGUUCUGCUACAGGCCUCAUGCCCAGAAUCUAAUGUUUCGAAAUCAUUUAUGGGUUUAAACGCUUUCCAGAUAAUAAAAGCAGAAAUACAACAAAGGUUAAAUAUAGCAAUGCUAAAACCCAGGAACAACAGCUCUAAGUUUCAUUUGCCACCAGUGAUGUGUCAGCCUGUAAGAACAAUUCGUCCUGCUCCUCUAGAGGAUAAUAUUGUCAAUGAAAGCCCCCACAUCAGAAAUAUUUUGAAUAUAAUGAACUCUAUUCCUUGGCCUAUCAAAGCAGUUACUAAAUGUUAUCAUUAUCAGUUAGACAAUCUAUUAAAAAGGCACACUGAAAAGUCAUCAGACCUGAUUGUGGCUACUAUUUCUGAUGAGUUCACCCCAGUGAAAGACCUGUACUACUUCAGCAUGAGCAACUAUUACAAGUACCCUAGCAACAAGAAAGAAGAAAUUCAAAGCAAUUUAAAAUGGAGGGAAGCUGAUGUAGCAACCCAUACUGAAAAGAAUGACCACAUGAAGUACCAGCCUUUGGUGGCUUGUAAGAACAUAGAUCUUAUGACCCGAGACAGUUUCUAUGAUGAUAGUCAUCCCUACUUGAGCUCAAGUAAUGCUCUGAUAAACUGUGGAAUAUUUACAGCUCAGACAACAUUUGCAAUGUCAAGCAACAGAGAUGCCUCGAGAGCUGGCAAUGAGGAAGGAAGAACAGAGAGUUACUGUAGAUCUGGUCCAGAAGAAGGAAAUGCUGCAGAGGUGAUAGUGGAUUACAGACGAUGUGAAGAUGCUGAGAGUGCGAGCUUUAUGCUUGACAAUCGUGAUUUAGAUUCUUCCUGUAAAAACGAAGUGAUAGAGGCCUACUGUGCCUUAAAAGAUAAUUCUGUAGCUGCAGGAAUUCCCAGAGUAGAAGUGCAAGUUCCUUCUGGAAAACAGACAGAAAAUAAUGUUUGUGUCUCUGAAUUUGAAAUGGAAAAAGAAGUGUUGUCAGAAGCAACUGCAGAAGACCAAAGUGAGCUUGUACCUGUUGUUCAUGUUACAUUCUCUGAACAAGAACCAGCUAGAGAACCACACAUUGUUAAACAACCUCCCACAAAAAAGAGUGUCAUUCGUAGCCUGCCUCCUCAUGUUACUCAGAGUUUCAACAUUCUUGCUCACAAAGAAAAUGGCAGAAGUAAAAUAAAGGUGAAUAAAACCAAAUAUUCAUCAAAAUCUAAGAUGAGUAGCAAGAUAAAGAUUUCUGAAGACUUAAUUGUUUCUGAUGAGAUUUCCACAAAACGUAAUGCCAAGAGUCACAUUUUUCCAUCUUUGGAACUGCCACACAUGGAAUCUGAGACUUCCCCAAAGCGUCAAAAAAACCCGUCUCAUGCUAACAAAGACCAUUUUGCUCAGAGUGCUCAAAAACUUCAAAAGCAAAGUUUCUCCUGCAGUUGCAACAAUUCAGUUAUCUUAAAGAAACCUGUUACUCCCCUUUCUCUACCACAGGCACAGUCUGCUUCAGCUUUUGUAGAUCUGAAAUACAGCGACAUGUUCAAGAAAAUAAAUUCAAACGAUAAAGGCCCGGGUAUUUAUGAAAUGUUUGGAACUCCUGUCUAUGACCACAUGCGCAAGCUUGAUCAACAUGAGAACAGAUUUUACAGAGAUGUUCGUUCUGCUCCAACUGGGAGAUGCACUGCUAGCAUCUGCAGAUCUACCUGUGGGAAAGAGAGAGAGAGCAGCCGAGCAAGAAAUACUCAAAAGAGAACAUGUUCUAAGCCAAAGAAGACCAUACCUGGCACUAAACAAAAGCAGAAGGGUUUAAUUAAAAAGGACAGAAGCACCAAGUUGAGUGACAGCAACACAGAACAAGAUAAUGUAAUAACUUCUGAUUCAGAUGUUCAGAUGAACACUUCAAGGAGCAUGACAGUGCUUCAUGAAGACACAGAUCAUCAACUUAGAUUUUUAGGAGAGCUUUCCCAAUCAAAUGAGCAAAAUAAAUUUUUUUCAAAUUCAAACUUAUCAACUAUUAAAGAAGUUUCUUUGGAGCAGCCUUUAGACAGCCAGGAUAUAUCCAGCCAUCAGAGAGCUGCUACCUGUAGCCAGAAUCUUCUGCAGUUCAGUGAUAAAGACUACAGAGACUGUGUUCCUCUAAGUAGCAGUCCACUAACAACAGACAAGAACAUUUGUGUACCCCAGUGCAGGGUGGAUAUGGAUGGCUGCAAAGGCCUGGAGUCAGACCAGGCCUCCUUCAAGUCUAUAAAUAAACGUGAAGCAUUGCCCUUUUUACAUAGGCUGGAAUGUCAGUCCCCUCCAACACAGGUAAAUCAGAGUUGGGCAUACACACCUCAAAACUGUGGUUUGGCGAAUGAAUUGACUCAGCCUUCAGUGAUUCAGACAAAAAGUGUUACAAGCCUCAGUUUCCAGACAAGUCAAAACAUUCUGUCGUGGACAGAUAAUGAGGAUGUGACUGAUGAGUUGCUUUAUUGUCUGGCUGAAGAAUUGCUAAUGCUUGAAGGAAACGACAUCAACUCUCCAAGAACAAAAAAUACAAGUUCUAAAAUGCAAAAUAUGCAUACUAAAGAAGAAGAAAAUAUGAUGAAUGGAGAUGGAGCAAUAGUAAAUAGUGCUCUAGAGAAGAGUAACAGUAAAGCCUUUUUGGCACCAAAUGAAGAAAAUGAUCUGCUAAGCGUUGAGGAAUCUACUAAAUUACCAGGAAGCAGUUUAACUAACAAAGAUCCUAUCAUGUGGACAAGAGGUGAAGUCCUUGGAAAGGGAGCCUAUGGCACAGUAUACUGUGGCCUGACAAGCCAGGGACAACUAAUAGCUGUAAAACAGGUUGUUUUGGAUACAUCAGAUCAAGUCACUACAGAAAAGGAGUAUCAGAAGUUUCAUGAGGAAGUUGACCUUUUGAAGACAUUGAAGCACAUCAAUAUUGUAACUUAUUUAGGAACUUGUCUGGAAGACAACAUUUUAAGCAUUUUCAUGGAAUUCGUUCCUGGUGGCUCAAUUUCUAGUAUUAUUCAUCGUUUUGGUCCAUUGCCUGAAAUUGUCCUUUGUAAAUAUACAAAGCAAAUUCUACAAGGAGUUGCAUACUUACAUGACAAUUGUGUGGUACACAGAGAUAUCAAAGGCAAUAAUGUUAUGCUCAUGCCAAAUGGUAUAGUAAAGCUAAUUGACUUUGGCUGUGCCCGGAGGUUAGCUUGGGUAAGCCUCAGUGGCACCCAGAGUGAGAUGCUCAAGUCUGUGCAUGGGACUCCAUACUGGAUGGCACCAGAGGUUAUAAAUGAAUCUGGAUAUGGAAGAAAAUCAGACAUCUGGAGCAUCGGCUGCACUGUGUUUGAGAUGGCAACAGGAAAACCACCACUGGCUUCCAUGGACAGGAUAGCAGCCAUGUUCUAUAUUGGGGCCCACAGAGGACUGAUGCCUUCCCUACCUGAUCGAUUCUCUGGCACUGCAGUGGAUUUUGUGCAUGCAUGCUUAACCAGAGACCAACACGAACGCCCUUCUGCUCUGCAGUUGCUGGACCACCCCUUUGUGAAAGGAAGACAGUGAAUUUUUCAAACCUCUUACCAAAUGAGUGUGCAUUUCCAUAUAAAAGUAUCUACUUGGGAAAAAAAAUAAGAAGGAGCUGGACUUCAAAGUGACAACAGAAUUUACUGGAGAGCAAUUGUGCACAAGGAGUCCAUUAUUAGACAGCAGAAUGACUAAAGUAAUGUUUUCUGCACUGUCUGUGCUCAUUGGAGUGGGCAUUGGAGUGUGAACACAGGGCCACGUUCGUUGUAUUUGGAGAGACUUUAAGAGAAAAAAAACCACGCAUCACCAUCACCAGUAUGUGACAAGCGAGGUCACAGAAUGGUUGAGGUUGGCAGGAACCUCUCGAGAUGCUCUAGUCCAGUCCCACUGCUCAGAGCAGGGUUGACUGAAGGAGGUUGCUCAGUUCCUUGUCUCAUUGGCUUUGAAAGGAUGGAGACCCCACAGCCUCUCUGGUCGACAUGUUCUUCAACCACCCUUACAGUAAGAACAUUUUUAUGUUUGAACAGACCGUCUUGUAUGGCAGGUUGUGCCCAUUGCCUCUCACCCUGACACUGAAGAAUUUGGCUUUGUCUUUCUUGCUGCCCCAUCAGGUGUUGAGACACAUCAAUACAUAUUCCCCCUGAACCUAUUAUUUUCUCAUGGAGUGCCUUAUUUUCUGUGCUCAGAGUGAUGUGUUGUAAUUCUCACCCUUCUGUUUGCUGAUACAGAGCAACAGAAGCACAGGAGCAUUGUCUUUCUUGUGUUUGUGAAGGCCAUGAGAUGCCGUUUGACUCGCUAGCCAGUCUACUGCUAUUUUUCAAUAUCCUUAAUCUGAAGUAGAACAGCAAACUUGAACUGUUUUGAGAAACACGGGAGCGAGCAUGAUGUAAGUAGGCAACCCAGCAGUCUCCAUCUGCACUGCGGAAAUAAUUUUUACAGUUAGUACAACUAGCUACCACCUGCACAAGAUCAAAUAGAGUUUGAAGAUUAUUAUAUAUUAAUAAACAAAAAAAAUUAUCAGGUGUUAGUAUUUGCAUUGUCCUCAUUCUGAUAAGGCUUCUCCCUGAGUAGCUUUCAAAUUUAAAAUUUCAGGGGAAUGAGACACUGUAGAAACCCAAAAUGGGUUUUACCGCAUCAAAACGCGGUGAACCUUAUUCCUCUCUGAGCACCCAGGCUCAGGAAGAGACACAGUGGAGCCCAGUUCUACAACUGACCCAUAUAAAAUCAACGUUCCCCAGACCACUCAACAUUUUAGUUACUUAAAUAGUUUUCAAACGUUAUUUUAUCCCAGUAGCCUGACUUCGGAGAGCUGGCCUAUAUUUAUAAAACCAACGAGCAAUCAGUACUUCUAGCAAAAGUCUUUAUUAAUAGUUUGUUUAGGUAUGAUGUCACAUAACAACGACAGAACAUGGUGCAGUAUAAGAGAAAUCCAAACAUCACAGUCAUCUUCCAAGUUCAAACAGUUAACAGGCCCUUUCUGAGGAGCACAGGUUGGUCUGCAUGCCAAAAAUCCAUGGCCACAUCACAUUAAAAUAUCUUGCAGACUAACUAAGAAUGGAAGUCCUGGCAUAUGAACUCAGGUGGGAUGUACAUAAUUCCAUGAUGCAUAUUAAUUCUUCUAGAUUAAGUUGGUGUCUCCAACAAAGCUGCAGAGUAAAUGAGUUUUUAUUUAGCAUGAAAGGGAGAUGAUGGUCAUAUGCAGGGAAAGAAUAGGAAUGCUCUAGGAUAUACAGGUAAUUAAAAAAAGUCAGAAUUACAACCUCCCCUCCUUAUGCACGUGUCUUAAAAUCAAAACUACUAUCUUUUGGUAGAGUUUUCCAAUACUAAGGUUAUUAGGUAUUUGCAAUUUAAAUGUAAUGGCUAAUUCAGCUAAUUACACUAAAAUCAGUCUCCCACAUAAAGGUUUGUAAAACUUUAACCUGAGUUUUUAAUCAAAAUGUGAUAGCACAGUUUUACUUUUGUUUAACCAGACUUAGAGAAUGAGGGGGUUGUUUAAGGCCAGCACUUGCAACAAAGGUAUUUCGUCUUAAUCACACUGGAGAAGUGGGGAGUUGUGACUGCAUCCCAGUCCUGUGCUCAGCACAGCUAACCAAGGAGUAUGUUGGGUUAGGGUGCCUUGGGGCGCUAGGCCGAGCCCAGCCUGGUAGGACAUUCUGCAAACAAGUCUAACAUUGCAUGUUUCUUACUUCGUAUUAUAGAUUUUCACAUUAAACCCCAGAUAAUUCAGAUACCUCUAACAAAGUAUCUACUGUAAAAGGGGACAGGGUGAGAAACCUUAAAAACCUUCUCAAAACCCUUUAUUGUCACUGACAGGUGACUCGGUGAGGAGGGUCACACUUCUUGCUCAAUUAUUUAUGCUACGUGAGCAGGGCAAGGCCUACUGGUUUAAAAAGUAGUUUCAUUGCUAAAAACAGUGAAGAAGUUUGCAAGCUGCCAAGUAGCAUGCGUGACCACACUGCUGUGAUACCAGGUUUCCGCAAGAUUUGGAAUUUGAAUUUGAGAACCUGAAAAUACACUAUCCUCUUAUCACUGUAGGCAAUACCUGGUAUUCCUUUUACACAGAAGUAUUUUAAGCUUUGAGCUAUUGGCUCAAAUCUUAGGAAAAGGGGGGGGUUCUCAGGCAUGCCAACCCCGCUGUUUUACACUGGUCCUGAAACUACAAACAGGAAUAGAAUGUAAAAAUCUGCAUCUCAAAAUACAUGCUUCAGCCUUUCUUCUCAAGGAAGCAGACACUGAGCCCAGAAACCUGUCUUUUGAGACUAUUUAGGGUCAAAAUUGGUGCUUUUUCACAAAGUUCAGCAGGAACUGAUGCUGUUUUCUACACACCACGCCCCCCCCCCCCCCCAGCAAAACUCUGGUUCUUGCACGUAAGUAACAAAGAACAAGAGUUCUCCUGAGAAAGGGCUUCCUGUACACACAGGGGAGUGCCUUUUCUCCCCUACUUCCUGCUUUCCAAGAGGACCUGCACCAUGAGACGCCUUCAGAGAGGAAAUUUUAUAGGUGUUGCCAAAGAACACAACCUCGGAACUAUGGUAUCGUUGUAAGUGUGAGAAUAUAGAGGAAUCAAACUCAAGUAUAAAAAUGUCAAUGCUAAAAAUUUGAGUUUGCUGUAUGCACCUCAGACACCAGCGAAACAGCCACUCCCCGUAGCGGUGAGAGAAGACUCCUGCCAUCAACUUUUUCUUACAGGUGUAAGUAUUUCAGCAUUUCAGAGACAGGAGAAAUUAUUUAGCUACUCCAGUUUGGCAUAACUGCUGAGUCUGCCAAGACAUUUAUUUUAGAACUGAUUAUGGGAAUGUGCAUUUACACCCCAAUUAAAGCAAGCAAACAAUGGUUUGCUUGGUCCCCUUCACUGCAAACUAAAGGUUGGGAACCUUACCCCAAAGGCCUUACACAGAUCCUUGCUGUGCUCCUGUUGCCCACCCCCUUGCACCCCCUCCCCACUGCUAAAACAAUCAAAUAAUUAAAAGAAAUCACCGAGCAUGGCCAGCCACUAUACAAUAAUAGUACAGGGCAGAGGGAGGGAGCAGCUUAAGAUGGCAUAAAAUUUCAGGUAUCAAACACCUGGUCACCAUAACAUAUAGGAAGCAAAGGAAACUAAUUAGAAUUCAGACUUUCAAGCAUUCCACUAUUUGGUUUGAUGAAAACUAGUGAUGUUUUGCUAGUAACUGAGAAGGGAUCAUCUCUGUCUUUACAAAUGAGGUUGGAAAAUUAAACAUAGGAAAAUGGGAUCAUUUCUGCACAAUAGAGGUGAGGUAGGGAAUUUUAUUGAAAAUACUUUUUUUUUUUUUACAGUUCUUAGAAAUAAAGUUGCUUUUUCUAAUCUCACACAAACAGCUGUACCUCAAAAAUUCAACUAUGCUAAUAUGAAACAUUUACAUUUACAGUUAGCCAAAAGAAUAUACAGAACUGCCAUUGUAUGCAAAUACUGCAGUACCAGAUCACAGUGAGAUACAUUACUUCAGCACUCCCACCAUCAGGAACAGAUUAAGAUUCAACAUACGAAAGAAUCUCACUAUUCUACAAACCUCAUCUCUCACAAAAAGGGAAGAUUUUUAGUAGUGUUGUAGCGAGGUCUCCAACUACAGCGUCAGUUUACAAAUCACAUAAUGCAUGAACUCAAAUUUAUAACACAAACUAUCUGUGGUCGGUGGGGAACAGAGUCCGAGUGUUAUUACCCUUUUAUUGCAUUUACCCAGUUACGCGCCUGGGAGGCCGAGGCCCAGCCCAGCAGCCUGCGAUGCGCACGGUUCACUAUCGCAGGGGCAUCUUGGUGCAUGUCCUCGCCCUCCCUCUCAGCCCUGCGCUCAGCACACUGAACCGAGUCUCCGACACAGACACAUACAGUUUCACAUAUUUACAGCUACACUGAAACCCAAACACACCGAGUUUUAUGGAUGUCCUUUACAGAGAAACCAAAACCCACCAUUUGGAUCUCAGGGUAGCAAAGCAACAUUUUCUCCAUGAUAUUUCACAAUUUCCCAGAAUCAAAACUGGAAAUGUUUCAUUUGAAACAGCACCUUAGGAUGAAGGCCUAUGCUCUUUUCCAAUUUCUAUUAGAUAGGCACUAGUUACCAUCCAGACAUUUCAUCUCCAAGUUAUGACAGCAAUUGCUCUAUUUACAGUACAGUAUAUUGCUUAUCCAGAGUGGCUGUGUAAGACUCAUUUCAUGGCACAACCUAUUAACACAGACUCAAAAAGAAAGUACUGUAGUGCUUCAAAGAAAACAUAAGACAAUUUACUGCUAUUUCAUCUGUUUGCCUAUAGCUUAGGACAGUAUAACACACAGAUUUCAUUUGUUAAAGAUCAGACCCAAAAGUAGCACUGAAAUGGAAAGGAAACAGACUAUAAAAGGAUAGAAAAUAGUCACCAAUGCACAAAUAUGUAACGAGAAGUUCCAUUCCAAAUGUAGAAAAAUAACCAAGUUGGCAGGGAGAAAACAGCUUUGGAUUUUGUACAUGGGCCAGAAUUUAAGCUAAGAUUUAGCAGAAAAUGCAAUCAGGUUUCCAUUUAAAUAUUCCUUAAGUGUAAAAAAAGUAUCCAUAGUUCAAAUAAAACUUAUUCAAGUCAUUACAAGCGUUUGCAUUACUGGAAACAGAGUAUUACAUAGUAAUUGAUAUACCUGUAGUUACAGAAUACAGCAACUACCAAUCGGGUAGAUAUCAAACAGUUUUAUCCUUUAAAGCACGUGUGGGUAACAUAACUUCAGAUUUAACGUCCAAGACUUACAGAAUUACACAAGCACUAAGGGAAUGAGGUGGCUUCACAAAAGUUUACUUCAUGUCCUGGUCACUUCAAAGUCAAAAGAAGUCACUGAAAACCGGCUGUUGCUACUAUAUACUGAGUUCACGUUGAGGUACUUCAGAGCUUACAGAUAGGUUUGAGGAACAACCCAGCGAGUCAGUUCACUGUUCUCCAGGCGACUGAGCUGUAGUAUUGGCUUUGAGAACACAAGAACAUUCACACCUGUCAUUUCUUCUGAGGAACAUAACACCCUGGAGAGAGCGCACAGACCCUUCCAGGCAGACAACAUGGAGGCCAGUGGUUCCACUGGGAGACUGACUGGUUUUUUUGACCCCCUUAGAGCUGAAAAAACAAAACAAGUAUCUGCCAAUUUGGUAACUAAUGACAAGUACAAUGCACAGAAUCGAUAACUAUUUUAUUGUUGGAAUAUAAAGUUGGGAUAUCAAUAGUUUUAUUCUUAUGUACUGUGAAGACUGCAUUUACCUGUAAAAGAAAUGUGGCAUCACACACACGUACACUUUUUGGAUUUCAGAACAUGGGUACUAUUCUGAAGUGGUAAAGGAAACAGUGACCCCUGUUUGCUAUUAGAAUAAAUUAUGACCUUUUUUUUUUUUGAGAAAAGAA